rnacentral:rRNA from 1 species
CCUACGGGAGGCAGCAGUGGGGAAUAUUGCACAAUGGGCGCAAGCCUGAUGCAGCGACGCCGCGUGAGGGAUGACGGCCUUCGGGUUGUAAACCUCUUUCAGUAGGGAAGAAGCCGUAAGGUGACGGUACCUGCAGAAGAAGCGCCGGCUAACUACGUGCCAGCAGCCGCGGUAAUACGUAGGGCGCAAGCGUCAUCCGGAAUUAUUGGGCGUAAAGAGCUCGUAGGCGGUUUGUCGCGUCUGCCGUGAAAGUCCGGGGCUCAACUCCGGAUCUGCGGUGGGUACGGGCAGACUAGAGUGAUGUAGGGGAGACUGGAAUUCCUGGUGUAGCGGUGAAAUGCGCAGAUAUCAGGAGGAACACCGAUGGCGAAGGCAGGUCUCUGGGCAUUAACUGACGCUGAGGAGCGAAAGCAUGGGGAGCGAACAGGAUUAGAUACCCUGGUAGUCCAUGCCGUAAACGUUGGGCACUAGGUGUGGGGGACAUUCCACGUUUUCCGCGCCGUAGCUAACGCAUUAAGUGCCCCGCCUGGGGAGUACGGCCGCAAGGCAAAACUUAAAGGAAUUGACGG